ACAUUCCACAUUAAUACAUAUAGUAAUUUUUUUUUUAUCUUUCGGCUCCUUAUCCACCUCCCGCUCCCUCACGACUCCACCUCAUCCACCACCUCUUCCUCUCGUCCACCUUCACUUCUCUUGCUAUCUUCGCCACCAUCACCACCACCUCUGUGUACUCUCCUCCUCCUCCUCCUCCUCCUCCUCCCCUUCCCCUUCCACCCCCCCCUACAGUCAGCUGAAGCCGGACCCAACCUACAAGAAGUACCGCACGGCCAUCAAGUGGAGGAACCUCAACCCGGAGUUCAACGAGGAGUUCGUGUUCGAGGUGCGCCGCAACGAACUCCCCAAGAAGCUGCUGGACAUCCGCGUCUACGACAAGGACGUGGGCCGCAGCGACGACUUCAUAGGCGGACUCCAACUCUCCCAGGACAGCACGGGCACGGAGCUACGCCACUGGUAUGACGCUCUGCAGUACCCCGACCGUCGACAUGACCGUUGGCACCAGCUGCAGUCCCUCAACGGCAAGUGAAGAGGCGGGCCAUGAGGAGGAGCGAGGGACGAUUAAGCGACAGGGGAUGAGAGAAAGGAGUGGCAAGUAGGAACAGAGGAAGAAGACGACGUGGAAAGUGACGGACGAUGGAAGAGAAGAGUGGAAUGAACAGAAGAAGACGUAGAAAGAAGGAAAAGAAGUGGAUGAACGAAGGAAGAAGUGGAAGAGUUGGAAGAUGGAGAAAAGGAUAUGGAAGAAGGAAAAGAAGUAAGAAAUUAAGAAGAUGAAGAAAUGGAAAGAACAGGAAGAUGGAGAAAAGAAGAUGGAAGAAGGAAAAGAAGCAAGAAAUUAAGAAGAUGAAGAAAUGGAAAGAACAGGAAGAUGGAGAAAAGGUUAUGGAAGAAGGAAAAGAAGUGAGAAAUGAAGAUGAAGAAAUGGAAAGAACAGGAAGAUGGAGAAAAGGAGAUAAAAGAAGGGAAAUAAGUAUAGAAUAGAGGAAGAAAACAACAGUAGAUGGAAGGAGGAGUGGAAAAAUGAGGAAGAACGAGAUGAAGAAGGAGAUGAAAGAAGGAAAAAGAAGUAUAAAAAAGAGGAAAAUGAACAAAAUGAAAGAAGGAAAAGUGGAAGAUAUAAAGAAAAGGAAAAGCAAGAGAUGAUGAAAGAAGAAAAAAGAAUGAUAGGAAGAAGAAUACCAACGAGAUGAAAGAAGGAAAAGAGGAAAAUAUGAAAAACAGCAACAACAGGAAAUUAAAGAAGAAGAAGAAAUUAAAAAAAAAGAAGAGGAGCAGAUGAAAAAAAAGGAAUUAAAGAGAAGGAAACCGACUGAAGAUGGAAGGGAAGGAGGAUAAACAAGAAGAAAUGGAAAAGUAGCAAUUAAAGAAAAAAAAAGGAAGAAAAAUAAAAAAAACAUAUGGAAGAAAGAAGAGACAGAGAGGAAAAAUGGAAGAAAACAACAGGAAGAAAACACCUAAGAAAGAAAGGAAGAGGAGAGAAUGAAGGAAGAAGAACCAACAAGCAAGGAAGAAGGAGGAGACAGAGAGGAAGAAUAAGCAGAAGGAAAAGUGAUGAUGAUGAGCAAGAAGAAGAAGAAGAAGAAGAAGAAGAAGAAGAAGAAGAAGAAGACGAAGAAGAAGAAGAAAAAGAGAAAGAAGAAGAAGAAGACGAAGAAGAAGAAAAAAAAGAGAAAGAAGAAGAAGAAGAAGAAGAAAAAGAUGAAGAAAAAGAAGAAGAAGAAGAAAUGAAGAAAACAGAGGGAGAAAUAGUGUGAUGACGGAGGGAGAAGAAAGGAAAUAAAUAUAAGAAGAAAAAAAGAUGAAGACAAAGAAGAAAAAAGAAAGAUGACAAAUGAUGGAGAGGAAGAAAAGUGACGACAGAUGAUGGAAAAAAAAUAAUAAUGAUGAAAAAAAAGAGAAAAAGAAGAAGAAAAAGAAGACAACUGGCUGACGUGUGACAAGGAAAGUGAAAAGAUUUGAAAAGAAGAAGAAUUGGAAGAAAACAGGAAUGAAAAUAUAGAAACGGAAGGAAAAGUGAAUGAAAACGAAAAUAAGAUAAUAAGGAAAACAUGAAAACAGAAAAGAAAAGGAGAUGAAAAAGGGAUGAAAAUAAAGAACGUAGGAGAAUAAGAUGAUUAGGAAAUAAGGCAUAAAGAAGAUAGAGAUAAAAAUGUAGAAUAGCAAAGACAAAGAGGAGAUGAAAAGAACGAAUAAAUGAGGAAAAAGAAAAGAAAAAAAACAAUGAAGGAGAAAAAGAGGAAAACAAAGAGGAAAAACGAUAAAAAAAAGAUGUAGUGAAAAGAAA